GAUGAACGCUGGCGGCGUGCCUAAUACAUGCAAGUCGAGCGAACAGACGAGGAGCUUGCUCCUCUGACGUUAGCGGCGGACGGGUGAGUAACACGUGGAUAACCUACCUAUAAGACUGGGAUAACUUCGGGAAACCGGAGCUAAUACCGGAUAAUAUAUUGAACCGCAUGGUUCAAUAGUGAAAGACGGUUUUGCUGUCACUUAUAGAUGGAUCCGCGCCGCAUUAGCUAGUUGGUAAGGUAACGGCUUACCAAGGCAACGAUGCGUAGCCGACCUGAGAGGGUGAUCGGCCACACUGGAACUGAGACACGGUCCAGACUCCUACGGGAGGCAGCAGUAGGGAAUCUUCCGCAAUGGGCGAAAGCCUGACGGAGCAACGCCGCGUGAGUGAUGAAGGUCUUCGGAUCGUAAAACUCUGUUAUUAGGGAAGAACAAAUGUAAGUAACUAUGCACGUCUUGACGGUACCUAAUCAGAAAGCCACGGCUAACUACGUG
rnacentral:rRNA from 1 species